rnacentral:rRNA from 1 species
GACGAACGCUGGCGGCGUGCUUAACACAUGCAAGUCGAGCGGUAAGGCCCUUUCGGGGGUACGACGAGCGGCGAACGGGUGAGUAACACGUGGGUGACCUGCCCUCAGCUCUGGGAUAAGCCUGGGAAACCGGGUCUAAUACUGGAUAUGACUCCAUGACGCAUGUUGGUGGGGUGGAAAGCCUUGUGCGGCUGAGGAUGGGCCCGCGGCCUAUCAGCUUUGUUGGGUGGGGUGAGGCCUACCAAGGCGACGACGGGUAGCCGGCCUGAGAGGGCGACCGGCCACACUGGGACUGAGACACCGGCCAG